GAUCGCGUGGUGGAACUGGUAUACACGGGCGGUUGCCAACCGUCCCGGCCAAUGGGGCGAACUCCCGGCGGCCUUGCGGGUUCAAGUCCCGUCGCGAUCA
rnacentral:tRNA from 1 species